rnacentral:rRNA from 1 species
CGGAGGCAGCAGUGGGGAAUUUUUCACAAUGGGGGAAACCCUGAUGGAGCGACGCCGCGUGGGGGAUGAAUGGCUUCGGCCCGUAAACCCCUGUCAUUCGGGAUCAAUGCCUAUUAUUUAAAAGAUGAUAGGUUGAUAGUACCGGAAGAGGAAGGGACGGCUAACUCUGUGCCAGCAGCCGCAGUAAUACAGAGGUCCCAAGCGUUGUUCGGAUUUACUGGGCGUAAAGGGUGCGUAGGUGGUCGGGUAAGUCUGAUGUGAAAUCUCCGAGCUUAACUCGGAAAUGGCAUUGGAUACUAUCCGGCUUGAGGAUGGGAGGGGAGACUGGAAUGCUCGGUGUAGCAGUGAAACGCGUAGAUAUCGAGCGGAACACCAGUGGCGAAGGCGAGUCUCUGGACCAUUCCUGACACUGAGGCACGAAAGCCAGGGGAGCAAACGGGAUUAGAUACCCCAGUAU